AACGAACGCUGGCGGCAUGUCUAACACAUGCAAGUCGAACGAGACCUUCGGGUCUAGUGGCGCACGGGUGCGUAACGCGUGGGAAUCUGCCCUCAGGUACGGAAUAACUCAGGGAAACUUGAGCUAAUACCGUAUAAUGACUUCGGUCCAAAGAUUUAUCGCCUGGGGAUGAGCCCGCGUCGGAUUAGCUAGUUGGUGAGGUAAAAGCUCACCAAGGCGACGAUCCGUAGCUGGUCUGAGAGGAUGAUCAGCCACACUGGGACUGAGACACGGCCCAGACUCCUACGGGAGGCAGCAGUGGGGAAUAUUGGACAAUGGGCGCAAGCCUGAUCCAGCAAUGCCGCGUGAGUGAUGAAGGCCUUAGGGUUGUAAAGCUCUUUUACCCGGGAAGAUAAUGACUGUACCGGGAGAAUAAGCCCCGGCUAACUCCGUGCCAGCAGCCGCGGUAAUACGGAGGGGCUAGCGUUGUUCGGAAUUACUGGCGUAAAGCGCACGU
rnacentral:rRNA from 1 species